rnacentral:antisense_RNA from 1 species
UUACUUGACGUAUACAGGCACCGUAUUGCCAGCCUUGCCAAAGGCGAGGUAUUCGCAGCCCAGCACUCGGACGCUGGGGGAGAUAUUCAGCUUGACUCCCCAGCGGCGGGAAGCUUCCGCGCCGUUAUCGGUUACCUGGCGAGGCAAGGAAGAGCCCUUCACGAAAGCACGGGCUGCGGUACGGGAGGAGAAAUGAAUUUGCAUUGUGUGUUACCUCUGUUGGUGUUAGUGAGUGCUAUUGUGCGGGCGGUUAGCCAGUUUGUCAAGCGUUUAUUUCACUCACUGGCACAUAGGAUUCAACGCCUCGCCAGCCCCCGCCUACCUUGGCCAUAUCACCCUGGACCCGUGUCACCUGGCCAGUCCAUAUUUCUCCCGUGCCGGCAUGCUUGAGGAAUUUACCGUCCACUAGCUGUUCAGGUAGAUACUGGCACGAUCCAUCGUUCUUUUUCCGGAGGUCUCCCCGGAUGGCUACGAUAUCCCCUACCUUGAUGGGCAUCACUGUGCCUCCUUUACAACAAUGUCAGAGUGGUACCCGUCGUGAUUGAUCAGCGCUUUCCGAACCUCUUCGGUAUCCGCCAUCACGUCGAAGAAAACUGUAUCGAUCAAUUGACCGUUAAGGAAUACGUCCCAGGCUUGCAUCUUCCAUCUCCUCAGGCUGUACGGAAUGGGUCAUCCGGUUUUACGUCGAAGAUAACGCCGACGCCGUGAACCUGGCCAUUACGAUAGAGAGUGUGCCACCUGGCCACGCCUUUCGAGUGCUUCACCAGAUAGGUGCGGCGACGAAGGUUAGCAUCUCCGUCUUCCCAUUGGUUGUCCCGCUCGAUAGGGAAGUACCGAUUCAGGUCCACAGCUACGCGGUCAUACUCGCCACGGUUAUAGGCCGCGUAAAGGUCACGAUGAUUGCAGAGAGCUUUUUGCAUGGUUACCUUCCUACAGGU